GUUUACAUUUUUUUAUCACUUAAUUGCGUCUCGCCUUUUCCCAAAACGUUUCAAUUUUAAGAAGUUGCUCAUAUUUUCCAAGUCCAGGCUCCAGAGUAGUCUUGAUUUUUACAAACAAAAACUCAGAAAAUGGAAAACGAAAAGGAAAUGGAAAUGGAAAACCAGGUUUCAAAUCACAACGCCGCUAUUGGCGGCGUUUCAGAGCAGGUAACUCCUUCCAAUUCUUCAAUCAAUCCACCCCCAAACCCAGAAUCUGAAUCCAACAAUGAUCUCAGCACCGAAGCUUUAGCCAAAGCUUUAUCAUCCAUGCUUACUUCGCUCAUCAAAGACUUCGACUCUAAAGCCCUCGAUACUCUCGCCAGUCAAGACCUCCUUAGCUCCUCAAUUGAUCGUCUUACCCGAGAGCUUGAUCAAUUACUCGAAGAUGCUCCGUCACCAUUCAUAAUGCAGCAUGCUGUCAAGUUUUCUAAUGUCAGAAAGAGAGUUUUGUCGUUGAAUUUGCUUUUGAAAUCAAUUCAGCGGCGUGUCGAUAAUAUCGACCGAAUGCUAUCAAUGGGAUUGCAACAUGAGAAGACUGCUACAGAAGGUUCCUGACAACAUCAACAUUGGCUGUACGCUAUUGGUCUGUUCUAAUGAUUUUAUCGGUCUUCUUGCCAGGAGGUGUAGAUUUCUGGUGUUUCUUGCAUUCCCUUUACUCCACGUGCUUUCUUUUUCUUGAAUGUCAAAGCUUCAUGUACGUCCUUCUUACAAAAUGGUGAACGGACCAGCAAGCAGUUAUAUGAUUUAACCUUUGUGAGCCUUCCAUUCUCAAUCAGUUGAUUUUUAGCUUUUAGCAACGCGUGGUGAGUACCUUAGAAGUUCAAGCUGACAUGAAGAUUUUGUAAUUAUUGUUUGUCAAGAUUUAAGACCAUGAUAUCUUCAGCCUUUGUAGUAUUGUGUUUGAUUUGCAUUUUGUACACGUUCGUCAAGGCUCAAUACUUACUAUGCUUGAUGGGAAAAAAGUCACCUCCUUAGAGUCGACCCUUAUUGAAUAUUAAUUUUAAAUUUUGAGCUUGAUUUAAGAUAAA